AUGGAGCGCUCACCAGUGGUGAAAUGUGCGGACAGUGAGAUUUACCGUCUUACCUACCUGAUGACUUACAGAGUGUAUGUUCCGGUCGGAUGCCCUGGACGAGAAGCAGUGAGUCCCUCUGGAAAGACUGACCUUGGCUCAACUCUGAGAAGCACAUUAUCUUCCAGACACAGGUUCCACCAGAUACGUUGCUAUAGCAACCCUGCUUCUGCCAGAUGUUCCUGCUGCCUUUUCAUCCCAGCAGCAACGGUUUUGGUGGUUCUCAGACGUGGCCUUGUCCCCGACUUCCCUCACUCGGAUUCCCUGGCAGAAUCCCGAUGUCCUCCAGGAGCCCGUCCUCUGAGGUUGGACCGCAUUGGGCUGAUAGAUCCAAGCUGUGAAGUCUCGCUCUUCGUUAUGGAAACGGAAAAGAUGGCAGAGAGCCCCUUCCUUGAGACUCCGUGUGGUAGAAAUCGGCACGUGUCCGCCGUCCGAGGCGUUGCUCUGCUAAGAGCGGUGCGCGGGGGCUCCAGGGCCCGGGAGCGUGACCUGCAGACAGGGACGCGGUCCGGAGGCGCAGAUGCUGACGCCAGCCGGUGAGAAGCAAACGAGCAGAAACUGGCCCCGUGGGUCAUGGCCUUUCUCCUUCUGCGCGUACCGAGUGCGUCCCUGACGGCUUCUGUGGGCUCGGGAAUGG
rnacentral:lncRNA from 1 species